UACGUAGGGGGCGAGCGUUGUCCGGAUUUAUUGGGCGUAAAGAGCGUGUAGGCGGCCAGGUAGGUCCGUUGUGAAAACUCGAGGCUCAACCUCGAGACGUCGAUGGAAACCAUCUGGCUAGAGUCCGGAAGAGGAGAGUGGAAUUCCUGGUGUAGCGGUGAAAUGCGCAGAUAUCAGGAAGAACACCCGUGGCGAAGGCGGUUCUCUGGGACGGUACUGACGCUGAGACGCGAAAGCGUGGGGAGCGAACAGG
rnacentral:rRNA from 1 species